UACGAAGGGGGGCUAGCGUUGCUCGGAAUUACUGGGCGUAAAGCGCACGUAGGCGGUCUUUUAAGUCGGGGGGUGAAAUCCUGGAGCUCAACUCCAGAACUGCCUUCGAUACUGGAGAGCUCGAGUCCGGGAGAGGUGAGUGGAACUGCGAGUGUAGAGGUGAAAUUCGUAGAUAUUCGCAAGAACACCAGUGGCGGAAGGCGGCCAACUCGGAGCCCAGUCGACGU
rnacentral:rRNA from 1 species